rnacentral:rRNA from 1 species
GAUCCUGGCUCAGAACGAACGCUGGCGGCGUGGAUAAGACAUGCAAGUCGAACGGGGUUAUUUUGUUAGUUUACUAAUAAAAUAACCUAGUGGCGCACGGGUGCGUAACACGUGAGAAUCAACCUAAAAGUGGGGGAUAGCUCGCCGAAAGGCGAAUUAAUACCGCAUGUGGAGGUAACUUUAAAGCUGGGGCUCCUUCGGGACCUGGCGCUUUUAGACGAGCUCGCGGCCUAUCAGCUUGUUGGUGAGGUAAUGGCUCACCAAGGCUCUGACGGGUAGCUGGUCUGAGAGGACGAUCAGCCACACUGGAACUGAGACACGGUCCAGACACCUACGGGUGGCAGCAGUCGAGAAUCAUUCGCAAUGGGGGAAACCCUGACGGUGCGACGCCGCGUGGAGGACGAAGGCUCUAGGGUCGUAAACUCCUGUCACCACAGAACAAGGGUAGCGGAUUAAUACCCCGCUGAUUUGAUGGUAUGUGGAGAGGAAGCCACGGCUAACUCUGUGCCAGCAGCCGCGGUAAUACAGAGGUGGCAAGCGUUGUUCGGAUUUACUGGGCGUAAAGCGUGCGUAGGGGGCCGGCAAAGUCUGAUGUGAAAUCUCACCGCUUACCGGUGAAACUGCAUUGGAUACUGGUCGGCUCGAGGAUCGGAGGGGAGAGCGGAAUUCCAGGUGUAGCGGUGAAAUGCGUAGAUAUCUGGAGGAACACCGGCGGCGAAGGCGGCUCUCUGGAAGAUUCCUGACCCUGAGGCACGAAGGCCAGGGGAGCGAACGGGAUUAGAUACCCCGGUAGUCCUGGCAGUAAACGUUGCUCACUAGGUGUUGGUGGAUUCGACCCCAUCAGUG